GGGAUUUAUGUUAGGAAAUGUGUUAUACAACACAUUCAACUACCACACAAAAUCCUGGCAUAGAGUGGAUUUGUGCUUUUAAAUAUGUUUGCUUGUUGUGGUCAGCCCAAGGGAGAAGUAAAUAGUUACUGAAUAAAAUCAUCCCUAUGAAAUGUAAUAAAGGUUAAAUACAUCCCCAGAUAGUAGUAAAGUGCUAAGUUAAAAGUUAAUGCCUUGCUAUAUUACACUCCUCAGCAGGACAAGAGCAGUAUUAUGACAAAACAAAUCACAGCAAGAUGGAAUACUGUUUGCAUUAGAAACAAUUUCCUUUUCCAGACCUAUAUUCUUCAAUGCUUUGCAUAGAAUAAGAAGUGGCAUAAUUGCUUAAAUGUUAUCUUUCACAUACAGAUUUUUCUGAAGGUCAUAUGAUGAUUAAGCCAAAUAUACCCAUUCUUUCUUGCACCUUUAGCCCUACUACCAAUGAAAAUUAUCAAGAACACACAUUCCACUGCAGAUGCUCAGAGCUCAGAAAAUUUACUCAAAUAGGACAGCAUGUUUGCUAGCCUUUUGUGCUCUUUCAACCUCUGCUUUUCAUCUGGAACAUAAUUCUGAGCUACAUAGGUGUCAAUAUUCACUGCAAUCAAAAUCAGAAAAAGACGUGACUGACACAACUCAAUACAAGGUGGAUGAAGGCAAAGAUGACAGUGAUGGGAAUCUGAGCUUUUGUAGCCUCUGUGGGUUUAUCAAUUUUGCAUUUUCUGGGAUAAGAAAAACUGAGAGACUAAUAACAGGACACUUGUUUAGAAACACCUUUGCUUCCUAAGAAUUGUUUGAGUAAAAACCUCAAAAAAAUGAAUCACAUUCAUGUUAUAGUUGAUCUUACUGUGUAUUAUGAAUCUGUAAAAAAAUAAAGCAAGGAUGCUCUAGAUAAGUCA
rnacentral:lncRNA from 1 species